UACGAAGGGUGCAAGCGUUACUCGGAAUUACUGGGCGUAAAGGGUGCGUAGGUGGUUCGUUAAGUCUGAUGUGAAAGCCCUGGGCUCAACCUGGGAAUUGCAUUGGAUACUGGCGGGCUGGAGUGCGGUAGAGGGUAGUGGAAUUCCCGGUGUAGCAGUGAAAUGCGUAGAUAUCGGGAGGAACAUCCGUGGCGAAGGCGACUGCCUGGACCAGCACUGACACUGAGGCACGAAAGCGUGGGGAGCAAACAGGAUUAGAUACCCGU
rnacentral:rRNA from 1 species